AACUUCCAGCAACGGAUCACUUGGCUCUCGCAUCGAUGAAGAACGCAGCGAAAUGCGAUACGUAAUGUGAAUUGCAGAAUUCAGUGAAUCAUCGAAUCUUUGAACGCAUAUUGCGCUCUCUGGUAUUCCGGAGAGCAUGCUUGUUUGAGUAUCAGUAAACACCUCAAAUCCCUCUACUUGUUGGAGGAAUUUGGAUUUGAGCAAUCCCAAAUUUUCGAAAGAGAAUGCGGGUUGCUUGAAAUGCAGGUGCAGCUAGAUUCUUUCUUCUAAGCUAUAAGCAUACUUAUUUAAUCCAGUCAAACGGAUUAUUACUUUUGCUGCAGCUAACAUAAAGGUUGAAGAGUCGCUAUGGCUGACUGAUGCAGGAUUUAACAUGUCGCGCAAGCAAUCUGUAAACUCGAUCUCAAAUCAAGCAAGACUACCCGCUGAACUUAAGCAUAUCAAUAAGCGGUGGCU
rnacentral:misc_RNA from 1 species